rnacentral:rRNA from 1 species
UACGUAGGCAGCGAGCGUUGUUCGGAGUUACUGGGCGUAAAGGGUGUGUAGGCGGUUGUUUUAAGUUUGGUGUGAAAUCUCCCGGCUCAACUGGGAGGGUGCGCCGAAUACUGAGCGACUAGAGUGCGGGAGAGGAAAGUGGAAUUCCUGGUGUAGCGGUGAAAUGCGUAGAUAUCAGGAGGAACACCGGUGGUGUAGACGGCUUUCUGGACCGUAACUGACGCUGAGACACGAAAGCGUGGGUAGCAAACAGG